AGUGAACGCUGGCGGUAGGCCUAACACAUGCAAGUCGAACGGCAGCACAGUAAGAGCUUGCUCUUACGGGUGGCGAGUGGCGGACGGGUGAGGAAUACAUCGGAAUCUACUUUUUCGUGGGGGAUAACGUAGGGAAACUUACGCUAAUACCGCAUACGACCUACGGGUGAAAGCAGGGGAUCUUCGGACCUUGCGCGAUUGAAUGAGCCGAUGUCGGAUUAGCUAGUUGGCGGGGUAAAGGCCCACCAAGGCGACGAUCCGUAGCUGGUCUGAGAGGAUGGACAGCCAGGAUGGAGCAGAGGAGCGGCACUGCGUAGAGGGGGAGGCAGAAGGGGGGCAGAUUCGGGGAGGGGGGGAAGGAGGGAGCAGCACGCGCGGGGGGUGGAAGAAGGCGUUGGGUGCGUCAACAACUUUUGUGAGGAGAAAAAAGCAGCGGUUUGAUACGCAGCUGUUCUGAAGGUACCAAAAAAAUAGGCGCCGGGUAACAUCGUGCCAGCGGCCGCGGUAAGACGGGGGACAGGAUACGUUAAACC
rnacentral:rRNA from 1 species